CGGACGGGUGAGUAACGCGUGGAAACCUGCCGUAUACUGGGGGAUAACACUUAGAAAUAGGUGCUAAUACCGCAUAAGCGCACAGCUUCGCAUGAAGCGGUGUAGAAAACUCUGGUGGUAUACGAUGGUUCCGCGUCUGAUUAGCUAGUUGUGGGGGUAAUGGCCUACCAAGGCAACGAUCAGUAGCCGGCCUGAGAGGGUGAACGGCCACAUUGGGACUGAGACACGGCCCAAACUCCUACGGAAGGCAGCAG
rnacentral:rRNA from 1 species